AUUCCAGCUCCAAUAGCGUAUAUUAAAGUUGUUGCAGUUAAAAAGCUCGUAGUUGGAUUUGUGGUGGUGCCUGUGGUCCCAACUGUUUGGGUACUGUCGGGCGCUGCCAUCCUUGGGUGGAACCUGUGUGGCAUUAGGUUGUCGUGCAGGGGAUGCCCAUCGUUUACUGUGAAAAAAUUAGAGUGUUCAAAGCAGGCUUACGCCGUUGAAUAUAUUAGCAUGGAAUAAUAAGAUAGGCCUCUGGUGCUAUUUUGUUGGUUUGCGCACCAAAGGAAUGAUUAAUAGGGACAGUUGGGGCUCUUCGUAUUCCAUUGUCAGAGGUGAAAUUCUUGGAUUUCUGGAAGACGAACUACUGCGAAAGCAUUGAGCAAGGAUGUUUUC
rnacentral:rRNA from 1 species